UAUACAAUUUUAUAGCCCUACAUGUGCUAAUACAGCUGUAACAUUGACUUGUAAGAGCUUGUUCUUUAAUUGCUGAUGUUGGCCAACACUUUAAUGGUCUGCAAUUCUGUGUAGUCCUUGCCAGAACAUCAACUAGCAACAUCGAUAUCGGAUUUUUAGCAAGCAUACAACCUUUAGAUCUAAUUAUACAUAUAUAUAUAUAUAUAUAUAUACCUAUUGUCACAGUCUGUUUUUCAAUUUUCCUGCUACUAACUUUCUCUCACCCCUAAGAGGCCCUGGAGCUGCAGGCCGGAGGUUUGACAGUUGUACGUCGUUGCCUCAUCAGCUGGAGGACCAUAUGAGGGUGGUUCGCUGGCUCUUCUACGCCUGAGUGUUUUGCCUUCUGUGGUAGUGUUAACCUGGCCAAGAUCCCCUUGUUUUGAGCCUUGAUUAAUUGUCUGUAUCUUCCCUUCGUCUUAGGCUGUUCAAGCCGAGCCGCCGAGCUGGGUUUUCUCCCUCUGGGACUCACCUCCCGUCAAGAUUGGAUUCUGCUGCGCCUGGCAGCCGCCCUUGCGAGUCCUCCAGUCUGAAAGCGCAACCUGUCCACCCACCUUGCUCACCUGGAACAUCGGAGCGCUCCAGCCAGUUCUGCGCAGGGUCACGCCCAGACAGCUUGACUCCUGACCACUCUGCUCGCCUCGUUCCUGAAACUGAGAAAUAAAACAGUAAAUCUAC